UACGUAGGCAGCGAGCGUUGUUCGGAGUUACUGGGCGUAAAGAGUGCGUAGGCGGUUUUCUAAGUCGAACGUGAAAUCCCCGGGCUCAACCCGGGAACUGCGUCCGAUACUGGAAGGCUUGAAUCCGGGAGAGGGAUGCGGAAUUCCAGGUGUAGCGGUGAAAUGCGUAGAUAUCUGGAGGAACACCGGUGGCGAAGGCGGCGUUCUGGACUGCAACUGACACUGAAGAACGAAAGCCAGGGGAGCAAACGGG
rnacentral:rRNA from 1 species